GACGAACGCUGGCGGCGUGCCUAACACAUGCAAGUCGAACGGAGUUGAAAGGAGCUUGCUUCUUUCAACUCAGUGGCGGACGGGUGAGUAACGCGUGAGUAACCUGCCUUUCAGAGGGGGAUAACGUUCUGAAAAGAACGCUAAUACCGCAUAAGAUUGUAGUUUCGCAUGGGACAGCAAUCAAAGGAGCAAUCCGCUGAAAGAUGGACUCGCGGCGCAUUAGCUAGUUGGUGAGGUAACGGCUCACCAAGGCGACGAUGCGUAGCCGACCUGAGAGGAUGAUCAGCCACAUUGGGACUGAGACACGGCCCAGACUCCUACGGGAGGCAGCAGUAGGGAAUAUUGCACAAUGGAGGAAACUCUGAUGCAGCCAUGCCGCGUGUGUGAAGAAGGCCUUCGGGUUGUAAAGCACUUUCGGAGGGGAGGAAAAGGAAUGAACGUUACCCGUCAGAAGAAG
rnacentral:rRNA from 1 species